rnacentral:rRNA from 1 species
CCCCAGACUCCUACGGGAGGCAGCAGUGGGGGAUAUUGCACAAUGGGGGGAACCCUGAUGCAGCGACGCCGCGUGAGUGAAGAAGUACUUCGUUGUGUAAAGCUCUAUCAGCAGGGAAGAAUAAAUGACGGUACCUGAGUAAGAAGCCCCGGCUAACUACGCGCCAGCAGCCGCGGUAAUACGUAGGGGGCAAGCGUUAUCCGGAUUUACUGGGUGUAAAGGGAGCGUAGACGGCGAUGCAAGCCAGAUGUGAAAGCCCGCGGCUCAACUGCGGUAGUGCAUUUGGAACUGUAUGGCUGGAGUGCAGGAGAGGCAGGCGGAAUUCCUAGUGUAGCGGUGAAAUGCGUAGAUAUUAGGAGGAACACCAGUGGCGAAGGCGGCCUGCUGGACUGUAACUGACGUUGAGGCUCGAAAGCGUGGGGAGCAAACAGGAUUAGAUACCCCCGUAC